CUAGCUUUUUCCUAAAUUUCUGUCUUGGCUACUGUUGCCUUCCCAGGGUGAAGGAUGUCAAUAACCAUUUGUUUCCUCUAAAGUAGUCUGUUGGUCAUGAACUUCCUCAUCUGAAUAGCACACGUCUGAAC